UGGGGAAUAUUGCACAAUGGGCGCAAGCCUGAUGCAGCCAUGCCGCGUGUAUGAAGAAGGCCUUCGGGUUGUAAAGUACUUUCAGCGAGGAGGAAGGCGUUGUGGUUAAUAACCGCAACGAUUGACGUUACUCGCAGAAGAAGCACCGGCUAACUCCGUGCCAGCAGCCGCGGUAAUACGGAGGGGGCAAGCGUUAAACGGAAUUACUGGGCGUAAAGCGCACGCAGGCGGUCUGUCAAGUCGGAUGUGAAAUCCCCGGGCUCAACCUGGGAACUGCAUCCGAAACUGGCAGGCUAGAGUCUUGUAGAGGGGGGUAGAAUUCCAGGUGUAGCGGUGAAAUGCGUAGAGAUCUGGAGGAAUACCGGUGGCGAAGGCGGCCCCCUGGACAAAGACUGACGCUCAGGUGCGAAAGCGUGGGGAGCAAACA
rnacentral:rRNA from 1 species